GAUUGCGGAGACAGGAAGGGUGCACACCCGACGGAUGGAUAACCCUUAACGAUGUUGCAAAAACGGGAGAAUAAGAACGGGACAGCUAAGACAGAAGAUGUGUCCCCCUUCCUCUUCGCUUUGAACGUGGCUCUGGGAAUGACUGACAGCUGGAUGUUUGACAGGACCCUCCCCCCGCGUCUUAAGUGUUCAAAAUGAAGUACAAAACAUAGGAAACUUGGGCCACCCUGGACCACCUAGUGCUCUCGUGUUUGUCUACAGCUUACAUUUCUGCAAGUGGAAAGCGGAAACAAAGACUGAAUGUCUCAGGCGAUAACCAUCAGGCUGCCUUCCACGCUGAAGAGCAAUGAUCACUGGGGGUCUGCAGACCCCCAGAGUCACGGAGAGGACAUGGAAGAAAGGGAAGGAGAGAGAGAGACCAAGAAAUGGAGACACAGAUCUGUUAUGUGCUAAAAACAAAGAAGAACCUCAUAACCGAUGUGGUAAGUACAGUGGUCGAGGCCAGAAGAGAGGCUGUAAGACAUGACCACAGAACCUAACAGCUGUGGGCUGGGGUUUUUUACACAUGGCCCUUGGGCGUAAGGAAAGUAAAGAGUUGGAACUGAAAUUGACACAUAAAGCUACAACCAAGGAAGACCUGCCCCCACUCCAUUAAGGGACCAGAAAGUAUUGUUCACUUACUAAAGCUACUGGCAAAUUUCUCACUGAUAAGAUAUCUGGGUGGGGGAAAGUUCCCACAAUAAAUGGUAAUUUAAAAAAUCUCUUCUAUGCA
rnacentral:lncRNA from 1 species